AUUGAACGCUAGCGGGAUGCCUUACACAUGCAAGUCGAACGAGUGGCGGACGGGUGAGUAAUGUAUCGGAACGUGCCCAGUGGCGGGGGAUAACUACUGGAAAGAGUAGCUAAUACCGCAUACUAUCGGAUGUACCCAGAUGGGAUUAGCUAGUUGGUGUGGUAAAGGCUCACCAAGGCGACGAUCCCUAGCUGGUCUGAGAGGAUGACCGGCCACACUGGAACUGAGACACGGUCCAGACUCCUACGGUAGGCAGCAGUGGGGAAUAUUGCACAAGGGGCGCAAGCCUGAUGCAGCCAUGCCGCGUGUAUGAAGAAGGCCCUAGGGUUGUAAAGUACUUUCAGUGGGGAGGCGUUACCGACAGAAGAAGCACCGGCUAACUCCGUGCCAGCAGCCGCGGUAAUAC
rnacentral:rRNA from 1 species